rnacentral:rRNA from 1 species
UGCCAGACUCCUACGGGAGGCAGCAGUGGGGAAUAUUGCACAAUGGGGGGAACCCUGAUGCAGCGACGCCGCGUGGGUGAAGGAGUACUUCGGUACGUAAAGCCCUAUCAGCAGGAAAGAAAAUGACGGUACCUGACUAAGAAGCCCCGGCUAACUACGUGCCAGCAGCCGCGGUAAUACGUAGGGGGCAAGCGUUAUCCGGAUUUACUGGGUGUAAAGGGAGCGCAGGCGGCCUUGCAAGUCUGAUGUGAAAGGCCGGGGCCCAACCCCGGGACUGCAUUGGAAACUGCGAGGCUGGAGUGUCGGAGAGGCAGGCGGAAUUCCUAGUGUAGCGGUGAAAUGCGUAGAUAUUAGGAGGAACACCAGUGGCGAAGGCGGCCUGCUGGACGAUGACUGACGCUGAGGCUCGAAAGCGUGGGGAGCAAACAGGAUUAGAUACCCGUGUAA